rnacentral:misc_RNA from 1 species
GUGAAUCAUCAAAUCUUUGAACGCAUAUUGCACUCUCUGGUAUUCCGGAGAGUAUGCCUAUUUGAGGGUCAUUUGAAAUAAUAUAAUUCCAAGAUUUCCCCGAAUUUUAAAUGGGUUGUCCCUUUUUUUUGGUCGCCUAAAAUCCAAAACAAGCUCAUUUUCUUGGGUUGCGUUGUACUUUCCGUUACCUCGUU